UGUAUUUUGCAUAAGUAUACACAAUGCGGUAUCGCUAUUUCAGCAGGGAUGUACACAGAUGGCGCUUGGUGGGAUCUUAGUGAUUGCCAUUGGUGACCCGCCAUUUCGUCGACUGAAAUUCAUCGACCGUCGCUAAAUUAAAGAAAUCAUGGGCCCGUUACGAAGUCGAGCUAGCGCCUUUUAAAGUUUCGUAGUCCUUGUGAAGGUCGACGCAGUCUUAGUGGCCAUGCUGCCGAUGAGCCGUCUGAUGAAUGUAGAUUCGUGAAGUGAACCGCAAAGGCAACAGUAAAAAGAUGCCACUUUCAAGUCCUUCAUAAAAACAGAUUUUGGGAGAAUGUGAAGAGCAAGCGGUACUUGUUUGGCCAAGCCGUGAUAAAUGAAGACUGACAGUCACUGACUGAAGAAAGACAAUUUCCGAACCCACUAAAACUUGCCAAAUAUUAAACUUCCAAGUGCAGUACUCAGUACUGCAUAGUAAAAAAUGCAGCUAAUAUAGUACUCAUACUAACGUAGCAAAUAUUGAUGUGCUCACGGAUGGAUCCUAAUCCAUACGGUCUGUCAAGGUUAGGGCGAGCAGAAUCUUUCACGAGAUUAACAAUUAUACGUACACAAGCAACGACCACAUUUUUGGAAAGCUGACUUUAAUACUUGGCAACUGUAAGUUUGUGACAACGCAUCGAUCUAUGGCAACGAACAGCAGUUUAUGCAGUUUCGACAUUUUUUCGGUAAAUCGCAAAAUUUAUUUAGCAAAACUUAACAUCAUUUAACGAAAUAUCAUUUAGUCUGCUAGGAGCGGUACAUUUUGAUCACCAACAUCAUGGAUCGCGUAGCGUUUUUUUGUGCAGCCAUCGUUUUUGCAAUUGCCACUUACCAUUGCGUUAUCGUGAGCGGUCAGGCAGACAGCAAUGUAAACGCGGCGAACGGUACGAGCGCAGCCGCAGCCGGCAAUGCCUCUAGCUCAGCUAACGGUACAAGCGGCAAUGGAACAGCUGGUGGCACUGGAACAAGUGUCACCGAUUUUUCGUGCGCAACUGGUUCCUGGCCAGCCACCACACCUGCUCCAUCAUAUCAAUGUAUUUCUUCAAGCACUCUCGGUGUUACUCUUACGGGCUGCUCAAUAAACACGACAACCAACGCAGAUGGUACUCAGGUUUGCACAUGCAACAGCCUGAGCGGGUACUCAGGAGGCACCCCUCCAGCAAUAAGUUCCACAAACCCCGUCUAUAUUAAACCUGAAAUUUGUUCAGCUAUGACCCCUGGCACUUGUGAUUGCCCAGUUGCCAGCAGCAAUUCUACCGCUAAAGGAGCCGCAGCAAAAGGAAACGGAACCAUGAUCAAAAGUGCACCGUUAUUCCUUUUCCUAUCUGCCAUCAUAGCACUGCUGGACAAAAUACUGCGGGAAUAAGAAAGAUAAAAAAUCUACCGUCCGAAAGAGAUCCAUAUGCCGCUUAACGAUUAGCGGCAUAUGGAUCUCUUUCGGACGGUGGAUGUUUUAUUUUUCUUGAUUUAUUUUUCCCGCGAUUUUCAGUUGAAACUGCAUGCUUAGAAAACUUUCAUCAUGUUUAUUUUAUGUCAACGCGAUAACUUCCUUCGGUUUUAAAGGAUGACCCAUCUCAUUGCUUCGAUAUAUUCAAAAUGCCUUUCUGCCGCAUCAGACUUCCCAAAUUAUAAAUAAAAGCUGAUUUUUGAAAUAGUUUUGUGUAAGUGAUGCUCCAAUUUCCCUUUGAAUCAUGUGUAAAAAAUUAUAGCGAUAACUCUUUGAUGAUUAAAUUUUGUAGCAGAUGA